rnacentral:lncRNA from 1 species
UUUCUGUUUUUAUUUGACUUUUGAUUAUUGUCCUUGGAGUAUUUCAUUUCUUCUUUUGUUUAAGAAACCGAUAUUGAGAUUGCAAUGUCGGUGUCAGCUGAAAUUUCGAGCUGCUAAACGUUCCUUCGCGAUAGUUGCCAUGUUUGCGGCACUCAUUGAUACAUUUUUAGUAUCAAUAACUGUCGCAUGUGAAGUUUAUCACCGAUUCAGUACAAUUAUAACCACAGGCA